ACCGGUCUCAGGGCCUCUUUCACUUGGUAGGUGACAUAGAUGUGAAUGAUCUGCCAAAGGAGAGUUGCCCUGUGUCUGGUUA